rnacentral:misc_RNA from 1 species
UAGUAAGUGUUUUAUGGCACUUUUUAAAUCCAUAUCCACCUUGUGUGCAAUGUCGGUCGAUCUUCUUUUUUUGAGGAUCGACCAAACAUCAACCUUUAUUUUUUAACUCUUUGUCUGAAAAAUAUUAUGAAUAAAACAAUUCAAAAUA